rnacentral:sRNA from 1 species
UCUUCGCUCCCACACUGACUGGUGAUGC